CCUACGGGAGGCAGCAGUGGGGAAUAUUGCACAAUGGGGGUAACCCUGAUGCAGCGACGCCGCGUGCGUGAAGAAGUAUCUCGGUACGUAAAGCUCUAUCAGCAGGGAGGAAAAUGACGGUACCUGACUAAGAAGCCACGGCUAACUACGUGCCAGCAGCCGCGGUAAUACGUAGGGGGCAGGGGUUAUCCGGAUUUACUGGGUGUAAAGGGAGCGUAGACGGCAGCACAAGUCUGGAGUGAAAUGCCGGGGCUUAACCCCGGAACUGCUUUGGAAACUGUGCGGCUGGAGUGCAGGAGGGGUAUGCGGAAUUCCUAGUGUAGCGGUGAAAUGCGUAGAUAUUAGGAGGAACACCGGUGGCGAAGGCGGCUUACUGGACUGUAACUGACGUUGAGGCUCGAAAGCGUGGGGAGCAAACAGGAUUAGAUACCCUUGUAGUC
rnacentral:rRNA from 1 species